rnacentral:rRNA from 1 species
UACGAAGGGGGCUAGCGUUGCUCGGAAUCACUGGGCGUAAAGCGCACGUAGGCGGCUUGUUAAGUCAGGGGUGAAAUCCUGGAGCUCAACUCCAGAACUGCCUUUGAUACUGGCGAGCUUGAGUCCGGGAGAGGUGAGUGGAACUGCGAGUGUAGAGGUGAAAUUCGUAGAUAUUCGCAAGAACACCAGUGGCGAAGGCGGCUCUCUGGGACGGUACUGGACGCUGAGACGCGAAAGCGUGGGGAGCGAACAGG